rnacentral:rRNA from 1 species
UGGGGAAUUUUGGACAAUGGGCGAAAGCCCGAUCCAGCCAUGCCGCGUGAGUGAAGAAGGCCUUCGGGUUGUAAAGCUCUUUUAGUCGGAAAGAAAGAGUUGCAAUGAAUAAUUGUGAUUUAUGACGGUACCGACAGAAAAAGCACCGGUUAACUACGUGCCAGCAGCCGCGGUAAUACGUAGGGUGCGAGCGUUAAUCGGAAUUACUGGGCGUAAAGGGUGCGCAGGCGGUCUUGCAAGUCAGAUGUGAAAGCCCCGGGCUUAACCUGGGAAUUGCGUUUGAAACUACAAGACUAGAGUGCAGCAGAGGGGAGUGGAAUUCCAUGUGUAGCAGUGAAAUGCGUAGAGAUGUGGAAGAACACCGAAGGCGAAGGCAGCUCCCUGGGUUGACACUGACGCUCAUGCACGAAAGCGUGGGGAGCAAACA